GCAUAGCUCAAUCAGUAAAGCAUGAGUCUUCAUCUCAAUGUCAUGGGUUCAAGCCCUAUGUUGGGCA